GAUGAACGCUAGCUACAGGCUUAACACAUGCAAGUCGAGGGGAAACGACAUCGAAAGCUUGCUUUUGAUGGGCGUCGACCGGCGCACGGGUGAGUAACGCGUAUCCAACCUGCCCAUCACUUGGGAAUAACCUUGCGAAAGUAAGACUAAUACCCAAUGAUGUCCCACGAAGGCAUCGGAAUGGGAUUAAAGAUUUAUCGGUGAUGGAUGGGGAUGCGUCUGAUUAGCUUGUUGGCGGGGUAACGGCCCACCAAGGCAACGAUCAGUAGGGGUUCUGAGAGGAAGGUCCCCCACAUUGGAACUGAGACACGGUCCAAACUCCUACGGGAGGCAGCAGUGAGGAAUAUUGGUCAAUGGGCGAGAGCCUGAACCAGCCAAGUAGCGUGCAGGAAGACGGCCCUAUGGGUUGUAAACUGCUUUUAUAAGGGAAUAAAGUGGGUCACGUGUGACUUUUUGCAUGUACCUUAUGAAUAAGGACCGGCUAAUUCCGUG
rnacentral:rRNA from 1 species